GCGGGUAUGGUUGAAUGGUAAAAUAUCUCCUUGCCAAGGAGAAGUCGCGGGUUCGAUUCCCGCUAUCCGCC
rnacentral:tRNA from 1 species